CUGCUCUGCUGGAGUUUUGUAGGUGAGCUCAGCAUAAGGGGCUGCAAUGAAAAUCAGAACAUUAGAAUCUGAUGUAAACCCCCAUGCUGUAGGCAUGAACUUGAGAGAACAGUCCCUUAAGAGAUUAUUGAUCCUUGCUUCAGGGAGGCUGCUGAUUGGAGUGCAAAAGACAAGCGAUACUUGGUUUCUGGAUAGUAAGGUUAAAAUGAUGCUGUAUGCGGGCUUAUCAGUGAGACCCAUCCAAUCCAGGCACUAUAUUGUGUGGGAAACCAGCAGGGAAAAGGGGGAACAGGCAAAGCCAUAGCUGAUUGGCAUGAAAAAGAGCACAGCACUUGCUGGGAGGAGAGGAAUCUACUGUGCAUCUCUUGUUAACCUCUCAAGGAUGCCACAGCUCAGCUGAAACUAAGGUUGUCAGCAGAAUAUCCCUGUUAUGGAGUUCAAGAGGAUGGAGGCCAUGGGGUGCAGUCCUGUCCUUAAAACAGGUUUCCUCUCUGGGAAAAUGUUGAAGGGCAGUCUUCACCAGGAGGCUGCCCACCCCAACCAGCUACAAGGCUUGCAGGCUGCAAUAUUUGGAGGACGGAGCAAUUCCAUGUGAAUUGCUGGCCCCAGCUGCAGUUUCUCAUGUUCUGGUGGAGCCAUCAAAGCCCCCAUGAAGGCUCCAGGGACAUCCUCAGAAGGAUUAGGUCAGAGGCAGCAGGACCACUGCUUUCUUUCCAACAGCGCCUUAGUUUCAGCAGGGACCGAAUUGUUUUCUUCAGUGUCUGCAAAGGACUGUGUGGUGCUCAGCCACCUGCUGGGUUAAACCACAACAAGUGGAGAGACUGGAGCAAAGCAAAAAGCCAAGGCAGGCUGAAUUCCUCAGGACCAGAAUGCUCUCAUCAGGCAACACACUGCUCCCCGCUGAUGCCAAGACAUAGGUAGCUCCAGGGCUGGCACAGGGCUGGCUUUGCUCUCUUCUGCUCAGGAUGAACCUCUCCUAGCUCAGUCACUUCUUAGCGCUGAGAUACCUUUUGAGAAUAACAAAUAACCAAAAUGCUUUGUCAGCAUGGAAGCCCAUCAUGUCAGCGGAGUCUGUGUUUGAAUUACAGAAGCAGUGCCGUUUUUGCUGAGGAACUCCCCCAGAGACAAGCAGCUCCUGCAUUAUUAACAACGGUGCUGAUGAAUCCCUGCUAAUGAGACGUGCUCUCUCAGCCAGCCAGCAAAGCGGCCGUGGCCCCACUGCUCACAGCCCACGUUGCAGAGUUUUGUUUGAGAGCAAGAGACGACUGCUCUGGGGAGCAAUUGGCAAUGCUCUGCUGUACGAUUUGGCUGCUUUCCCUAACAUUUGAUAACGUCCUGCCAGGCUUGAGCUAGGUAGGCACGGAAAUCCCGCUUUUGUUCUCUACUGGCUGUGAAAAGGGAAAUAAAGGGCUGCCUUCCCAAUGAUAAAGACUUGUGACUAAAGAAAAGACCUGUUCCUUGGCGCGCACUCUGCUCUGCUCCAGAGAGCAAUAUGGGCUGCGCCCUCUAGUCUGCUUCUUAAUGGCUCGACAGAUUUCACUGUUAGGAAAAUCUUUGUCCAAUUUCUUUAACUCAAUUUCAUCUCGCUCCAUUUAUCAAUUCUGCUUUUGGUUUCUGGAUGCAAUUACUUUCCCACUGUGACCAUUAUACCUCCUGGAAUACUUGUAGAAUAGGAUCUUAUGCACUCUUAGCUGAUAUUUGGCUGGGAGAGACAUCUUAAACUCUUUCAGUUUUUGCUAAGUCAAAUCUCCUUUGAGCUUUCCUAGCAGGAUAAUGCUUUUCUGACAACAUAGUGCAUAGAAUGGGACUUAGCAGCCUCUGUGGAUGCAGAAAGACUGCUCUUCUUCCAGUGCAUCAUAUCAUGUCUCUGUGGUCCAACACAUCAUCACCCAUUGUGCUAAUGCAUUUUCAAGAAGCAUAAUUUUCCCAGUUGUUCUACGAAGCUAAUUUGCUCUGCGUUGCAGACACUGAUGCUUUGCAGAUGUCACAGAUGAUGUCAGCCUUCUGAUGCCAUUGCUGUAUGCAGAAUGAUUCUGUUAACCUCAGAUUUGCUCAUGCUCCAGCUUACUGACUGUCAUGGGGUUUCCCUGAUAUGAACAGCACUGACCUCCAGGGUUCUCCUGUGCAAGUAGAGGACAAAGCAAACCCUAAGGGAGGUGAGAGGGCAGGUUAUCACUAUUUAGGAGUAAUUGGAGUAGCUCCUUUUAAAGCAGGACUUCUUGCAGAUCUUAUGAGUAAUCUGCAUAGUAAGCAUACAGUCAGGACAGUGAAGUGAGAGGGCACAAAAAUUCCUGAUAACUUAUCCCUUGAAAAAAUAACUGACAAAAUGAAAAGGCUGAAGUUACCUCUUCUGUACUUUCCAUUUUUAGCUAUGUGACAAGAGAAAUUUAGGAUGCUAAGACUGCUGACGUAAUCAGAGCCCAAAGGCUGAAUUUUGCAGAUGUCCCUCUCAGCUCACAUAAAAGACCAAGAAGCCCUGACAAGCCAUUGGAGCAGAUCCUGGAGAUGCCUGCAGCACUGGGGAUCAAACUCUGUGGUGCUUAGGACUGAAACAGUGGGAGAUGAGAGGUCUUGCUUUGGCAUCAAGGAAGGCAGAGAUGAAUCUUCAGAAAAGAUUACACAAGAAAAGUAAUAGCUGAGUGGAAUAUCUUCCACCUUAGAGGCAAAAGUCUUAUCUGCAUGUGAAGUGGUGCAGCCUCAGGUAAAAUGUUCUUAGAGUAGGACUCGAAUAGAUCAGAAGGAUAA